AAAAACAAAGGUGGAAAGUUGCUCGGGCAGAUUAUAGGUGUGCUGUCUAUUGGCAUAACUUGCCAGGGCUUACAGAUACAAAACAAUUCUAUUGCAGAAAAGGAUCUGGACAUCAUCAAGCGUCACAUCUGCCAGACAUCUGUGCUGUUGUCUAUUCUGCGUCUUCUGAGAGAAGUUUGAGGUUUUUGUUUUGAUUUGCCAACAUGCAAAGUCUCCUCCCUCUCUAUCUGAUAAAGACACAGCAGUGAUGAGUGCAGCUACUCAGCUAGGAGUCUAGUUGGACGUCUGCAUUGGGGCUUACACACAAAAACCAGGAUACUGAAAAUGGAGAAAGCUUCAAGCAAGAUUUUUUUUUUUUUAACAAUCGUCUUCUGCAGCAUCUGUUUUGUCUCUGUGUAUACAUGUGAAAACACAGACCAGUUCAACUCUGAUUGUCCUGCUGUAAAUCAGAGCUAUGUACUUGGCACAGGACCAUGGCUGUGCUGACUGCUAGAAUUAUUUCCUUUCAAUUAGCUUCUCUGCUUGUGAAGACAGCUGUCAUUUAGGUGAGCUUAGCAAACUGAGAUACUGUAAGCUGAUUUCAAUGAUUAUUCUGUGAGCUACAUUUGGCUAGCAAUAAAUGAGACCAAGUAACAAUUUAGACUACUGAAAUCAAAACCGUACCUGAAGAAUAUCUUGAACAUGUAUUUCCAUUACCUUUGGACUUUCCAUUACCUUUGUCAUGAGACUUUCAACACCCUUAAUAAAGUUGGAGACUUUCUGUCAUGUGGCAUUUGAAGGUCAGUUAGUGUGAAAUCAAUCACUUUAAAUCCCUUUGCUAAAUUUGAUUAAGUUUGUUCAAGUAUCUUUGUUUGCAUUUUCUUGGGGGCUUUUCUGCUUAAAAGUUUAACACAUUGUGGCUGUACCUGUAAUAUUAAAACUCUUCUGUUACAGAAAACAGUUGUAUCCUUGGUCUAAUUGGAUGGACUGAAGAUAACUAGUCUUUCCUCAAAAGGAUUGGCCUUCUCUAGAUAAAAUAUUGAACUAUUGUAGAGUUUUCAGCAGAACUGUCUAUCAUCCUUAAUGAUGUUCAGCCUGAUUAAAAAAUAAGCUUUCUCUUUA